GCUGCCUGUAAUAACUCUUGCCUUUCUCCCUGUUGUUCUGACAGGCUUUCCUGCAGCCCAGAGGGAAUCAGGCGGCACUGGAGGCUGUACAAAAGGAAUUGUGCCAAGCUGACUCAAACUUGGACCUGCUCCUGUCGUAUGAGAGGGAUGGAAGAGCCCUGCAUCUAGUUCUUGAGGACAGGUCACAGGCACAUGAAGAGGGAGCAAAAGCAGUUCUGUGCCAAACGAAAAAGGUCUCAACCCACGAAAUGCUUAUGGGCUUAGCUGAGAAGUCUAAAAGGACACAGGCCCAGCGGGUGCUAAGGCUGAGCCGUAUUUGGGGAUGUAGAGCAUUUGUGGAAAUUAGAGCUUAAUGAUAUAUAUUAAGGACUGUUGUGGAACCAGCACAAUGAAAUAUUCAUCCCAUUCAUAAGAUUCAGAGUAAUAAAAUAAAAGUGCCCCAGGGAUCACCUGCAAUGGUUGGAGAAAUGUUAAUGGUGACUUUCGAUCUCAGGACCCACUCUGUAGUCUUAAAAUAGAACACCCUACAGGUAACAGUGAUCCUAUGAGAAAGGGCAAAGGGAAAGGGGCACAGGGUAGAGAUUCCUAAUACCUAGUAACAAAGCCCCAGCUGCCCCUGGGAUUAGAGGCAAGCACCAAGGUCAGGCCAUGGAUUUUAAAACAGAUGCGAAGAAGAUGAGGACCGCCAUUCCCCCAAGAUCCGAUAUGAAAAAAAGGAAAUGAUGUUUUCCUUCCUGGAUUUCUCCUUUCCUUUAUUUCCUUUAUGGCCUUCAUUGAGCAUUUAGAUUCCCUUUUCUCUGCUGAGGCUAUGAAAGCCUCUAUUUUUGUCAAAACUUUUUCUGUUUAUUCUAUCCUUUCUCUCUAGUUAGUCUUCAUGCUUGUAAACUAGGUGCCCUGGGCCUUCUUGGUCUGUAGACACAAGAGAUGUUUCAUUAACCCAGAGAGUUUAAGACUUCCUGUUCACAUGAGCCUCCAGCCCUCCUUUCGAAGAAUCAUGUGCUCAUGGACUUCUCUGUCAACCUUGUCACCUGCCACUUGAUGCCGGGCCACCCUGUCCAUAUUCUCUGCACGGGCAGAGGCUUUGGGAAGUCCUGCCAUUGCAAGGGCUACUCAGACUUUUCCUAAGGAUGAAAAUGUUCAGGCCCAUGUGCUGCUUCCAGAUGAUUUCCAAGCCUGCAGUCGUGAAGGUCCUGGAGAGGUUCAGGGUGGUGCCCCAAAACAGAAACGGUGGCCUGCCACGGUGCUGUGCCUCCCUUUUCCUCU
rnacentral:lncRNA from 1 species